rnacentral:rRNA from 1 species
GUGAGGAAUAUUGCGCAAUGGAGGCAACUCUGACGCAGCCAUGCCGCGUGCAGGAAGAAGGCGCUACGCGUUGUAAACUGCUUUUAACCGGGAAGAAACCCCAGGACGUGUCCUGGGUUGACGGUACCGGAGGAAUAAGCACCGGCUAACAUCGUGCCAGCAGCCGCGGUAAUACGAAGGGUGCAAGCGUUAUCCGGAUUCAUUGGGUUUAAAGGGUGCGUAGGCGGGGCGUUAAGUCAGUGGUGAAAUCCUGCAGCUUAACUGUAGACUUGCCAUUGAUACUGGCGCUCUUGAGUGCGCUUGAAGUGGGCGGAAUGUGCCGUGUAGCGGUGAAAUGCUUAGAUAUGGCACAGAACACCAAUUGCGAAGGCAGCUCACUAAGGCGAUACUGACGCUGAGGCACGAAAGCGUGGGGAUCGAACAGGAUUAGAUACCCCAGUAGUCC